UGACCUCAAAUCAGGUAGGACUACCCGCUGAACUUAAGCAUAUCAAUAAGCGGAGGAAAAGAAACUAACAAGGAUUCCCCUAGUAACUGCGAGUGAACCGGGAAAAGCUCAAAUUUAAAAUCUGGCAGCCUUGGCUGUCCGAGUUGUAAUCUGGAGAAGCGUCUU
rnacentral:rRNA from 1 species